GGAUGCACCAAAUAAGAUGUAUGAAUCAACAAGGCCUGUUACUGUAUUUGUUUCUCAUUUCCAGACACAAGUGGGCCAGUCCCAUUAGGACAGCUGUGGUGUUACGGUUGGUCAUUUACUUCUACAUGAUUGUGGAGAAUUUCAGAGCUCCUGAGCCCUCCCCCGCACCAGUACUUUUAUUAGGAGCUGCUGCGGUUUCAUCCUCGUUACCCCAUCUUGGACAGCCUUCCCCAUUGGAUGACUCACAGAGGGCCUAGACACCUGGUUG
ensembl:lncRNA